rnacentral:rRNA from 1 species
GACAGAGGAUGCAAGCGUUAUCCGGAAUGAUUGGGCGUAAAGCGUCUGUAGGUGGCUUUUAAGUCCGCCGUCAAAUCCCAGGGCUCAACCCUGGACAGGCGGUGGAAACUACCAAGCUGGAGUACGGUAGGGGCAGAGGGAAUUUCCGGUGGAGCGUGAAAUGCGUAGAGAUCGGAAAGAACACCAAGCGGAGGAACGCAGCUCUCGU